rnacentral:rRNA from 1 species
CACGGAGUUAGCCGGUCCUUAUUCCAUGGGUACAUGCAAAAAGACAACACAUGUCUCACUUUAUUCCCCAUUAAAAGAAGUUUACAACCCAUAGGGCAGUCAUCCUUCACGCUACUUGGCUGGUUCAGGCUUGCGCCCAUUGACCAAUAUUCCUCACUGCUGCCUCCCGUAGGAGUCUGGUCCGUGUCUCAGUACCAGUGUGGGGGACCUUCCUCUCAGAACCCCUAUUCAUCGAAGUCUAGGUGAGCCGUUACCUCACCUACAAACUAAUGAAACGCAUCCCCAUCUUUUACCGAAAUUCUUUACUCUAAAAACCAUGCGGAAAAUAGAGACUAUUGGGGAUUAAUCUUUCUUUCGAAAGCCUAUACCCAUGUAAAAGGUAGGUUGGAUACGUGUUACUCACCCGUGCGCCGGUCGCCAUCUAUUCUAGCAAGCUAGAAUAAUGCUGCCCCUGACUUGCAUGUGUUAAGCCUGUAGCUAGCGUUCAUCCUGAGCCAGGAUCAAACUCU